rnacentral:tRNA from 1 species
GGACCUAUAGCUCAACGGUUAGAGCAACCUACUUCAUAACCGGUUGGUUACAGGUUCGAAUCCUGUUGGGUCCACCA